rnacentral:tmRNA from 1 species
GUUCCUGCUUAGUCCCGACAAUUAAUUCAUAAAUAAACAUGUAGAAAGCUUGUGGCGAAUUUGUUUGGACACCGGUUCGAGUCCGGUCGGCUCCACUA